GGAGAGGUGGCUGAGUGGCUUAAGGCAACGGUUUGCUAAACCGUCGUAGGCUUUAAACCCUACCGAGGGUUCAAAUCCCUCCCUCUCCGCCA
rnacentral:tRNA from 1 species